AGGGAUGCUACCGGGCGACCGGAUGCGGAUCUCGAAAGCCUGUCCCAGUUCGGACUGGAGUCUGCAACCCGACUCCACGAAGUUGGAUUCGCUAGUAAUCGCGCAUCAGCCAUGGCGCGGUGAAUACGUUCCCGGGCCUUGUACACACCGCCCGUCAAGCCAUGGGAGCCGGGGGCGCCUGAAGUCCGUGACCGCGAGGGUCGGCCUAGGGUGAAACCGGUGAUUGGGGCUAAGUCGUAACAAGGUAAC
rnacentral:rRNA from 1 species